rnacentral:tRNA from 1 species
GUACCCUUGACGGAGAGGUCCAACGUAAUGGUCUGCAAAACCAUCCAGCCACCAGUUCGAAUCUGGUAGGGUACUCCA